rnacentral:ncRNA from 2 species
GAAUAAAUAAAUUUUUUAUAUUUUUUAUAUUUUAUUAUAAAUUUAUUUUACAUGUGAAUUUUAGUAUUAAAUUUUAAUUAUUUAAAUAAUAAUUAAUUUAAAUAUGCAGUAAUUAAAAUUAAAAAUUUAAGAAAUUAAGAUUUAGUAAUAUUUAAAUUAAUAACUAAUUUUGUGCCAGCAGUUGCGGUUAAACAAAAGUUAAAUUAAAUUAUUUCAGUAUAUAAUAAAUAAUAAAUAAUUAAAUUAAAUAUUAAAUUAUUAAGUGAAAUUUUAAUUUAAUUAAAAAUUAGAAUAAAAUUAUGAUUUAAUAAAUUUUAUUAUAAACUAGGAUUAGAUACCCUAUUAUUAAAAAUUUAAUUAAAAAUACUAAAAUAGUAAAUAAAAUAUUAUUGAAACUUAAAUAAUAUGGCGGUAUUUUAGUUCAUUUAGAGGAAUCUGUCUAAUAAUUGAUAAUCCACGAAUAAAUUUACUUAAUUUAUAAUUUUGUAUAUCAUUGUUAAAAAAAUAUUUUUUAAUAAAAAUAAUAUUUUAAAAUUUAAAAUAAAAUUUAAUUCAGAUCAAGAUGCAGAUUAUAAUUAAGUUUAAGAUGGAUUACAAUAAAUAUAUUUAAGUGGAAAGAAUUUUGUAAAAUUUAAUUGAAAAUGGAUUUAAAUGUAAUUUUAAUUAGUUUAUUAAAAUGAUUAAAAAUUGGAAUAUGUACAUAUUGCCCGUCACUUUCAUUUAAAAAUUGAAAUAAGUCGUAACAAAGUAGAGGUACUGGAAAGUGUUUCUAGAAUGAA